AGUGAACCGGGAUGAGCUCAAAUUUAAAAUCUGGCGUCUUUCAGGCGUCCGAGUUGUAAUCUAUAGAGGCGUUUUCCGCGCCGGACCGCGUCCAAGUCUCUUGGAAUAGAGUAUCAAAGAGGGUGACAAUCCCGUACUUGACGCGACAACCGGUGCUCUGUGAUACGUUCUCAAUGAGUCGAGUUGUUUGGGAAUGCAGCUCUAAAUGGGUGGUAAAUUCCAUCUAAGGCUAAAUAUUGGCGAGAGACCGAUAGCGAACAAGUACCGUGAGGGAAAGAUGAAAAGCACUUUGGAAAGAGAGUUAAACAGCACGUGAAAUUGUUAAAAGGGAAACGAUUGAAGUCAGUCGUGUGAAAGGUAUUCAGCCGUCUCUGGCGGUGUAUUUGCCUUUCACGGGUCAACAUCAGUUUGAUCCGGUAGAAAAAGGCAGGAGGAAGGUGGCACCCUCGGGUGUGUUAUAGCCUCUUGUCAUAUGUGCCGGACCAGACUGAGGAACGCAGCUUGCCGCAAGGCCGGGGUUCGCCCACGUACAAGCUUAGGAUGUUGACAUAAUGGCUUUAAACGACCCGUCUUGA
rnacentral:rRNA from 1 species